ensembl:misc_RNA 7SK 7SK RNA
GGAGAUGAGGAAGUGGAGUUGUAACAGGACACUAAUCACCAGGGUUGUUGCAGCUAGCCUCGCUGGCUGGGUGGGGACCCUUCCUCCUUAGCCCCUCUGCAAGCUUCCAGAAGCUUUGAGCUCUGGAGAAGAGAAUGACUGCCCCCAAGAGAAGAGGACUUUUUUUUUUUUUUUUUUAAAUCGAGACUGGAUUUCUCUAUACAGCUUUGGAGGCUGUCCUGG